UCACAUGGCCUUUUUGCUUUCCCGUCAGAAAUGCGGGAGCACAACCCAACCAACUUCUUUGUGCUCCCACACUUCUGAUGAGAAAGCAAAAAGGUCAUGUGAU
rnacentral:pre_miRNA from 1 species